UGUGAGAGAGAGAGAGAAAGAGACAGGACUAGCUGGAGGUAUGCAAGCCACUCGUUGGUGAAGGAGGCGGCGGCGAUGACGGCCGUUAAUUACAAGAAGGAAUAGCUACAAGUUCAGUGGAGUUUGCAGUGUUUAGCGCCAGAUUCUUACACUCUGAGUUCGCGCGUGCACGUGUGUGUGUGUGUGUGUGCACCUACAUACACAUAUGUACGUGCAUGUGUAUAGAUAUAUGCAUGUGUAUAUACAUGUGUCUGUAUGCGUUUAGUGCGUGUGUGGACUCUUUUGGAUGAGGAGUUGGAAACGGUCUGUGUUCCUGUGAUGGGUGAAACCCCGCGAUGCCAGCAUCUUUAGAUUAACAUUACGUCUCCAUCUAUCUAUACACACACACACACACACACACACACACAUAUAUAUAUAUAUAUAUUAUAAAUAGACAUUAUAUAUACAUUUUAUAUAUUAAACACAUCCACUUGCAUAUACAAACACAGGAUUUCUGAAUUAUAUUCUGCAGACGACAUUUUACCAGGAAGGAUUUGUAAACACACCUCAAUCUGCAAAUAAUGAAUUAAAUGCAAUAAUUAAUUGAUACAUUAAUGAUGUUGACAUUAAGUGUGACGACGACGACGAUGGCAACAGUAUCAUGACGACGAUGAAGAUGAUGAUAAUGGUGGUUGUUAUUGAACGACCUCCUCUACUCUCAUAGUUUUUUUUACCUUUUAUUACUUGGCUACCAUGUUGAUUAGUGCGACUUAGCUCUCGCAUUAAAGAGAAUAAACAACCGGACGCACAGCAUUACAAGAAGAGUUCUACCAAAAUCUGUCCCAAUGGCUGAAAGUGAAGAACUUGAAGGUGGAACUCUCUGGAAAUGAAGAUAUUUACACUAACCAACUACCAUUUGACUACCAAUACCCAUACUCUUUGUCUGAAGAACUCAUCGACUUCUAUGAAGACACUGAUGCUGCAGACAGGUUAGAUUAUUAUCAAGAGGAUUCUUCUGUGUUGUGGCAACACCAACUAAAUGAAGCUAAGAACUAUAAAUCUAAUUCUUCGUUUCAACAUGACGGUUCAUCACAAAAUUUCCUGCCUCAUAGCCCCCGAUCUGGGCCUCUUCAAUCAAAAGUUCGGAUGCUAUCAGCACCCUUCAGAAGUGAGUCACGAGCAAAGAUCAAAGAUGCCCUCAUCCGAGGAAAGGAUUACCUUAUGAUGAAAGUUCAAGACUACCAGCAGAAAAUCCGUUCCAAUAUGAAUACUAAGCUAGAAACAGUUCACCCAAACAAUUCUAUUUCUGAUCAUUACCAUUCUCAACAAGACCUCAGUGACAUCAGGAACUGUACCAUGUUACCCACAGAAAAACAUGAUUUUAAUUCCAAAUCAAUGCAAGACAAUACUGAAUGGCCUUCAGAAAACCUUUCAAAAAUUCCCAGCCAGAGUACUCCCCAAUCAUCUGAACUGUAUGAGUCGAAGGUAAAGGAUACAGCUGCACCAUGUAAGAAAGUACCCCACAAUACUCCUCAUGAUGUACCCCAUGGGGUUGAUGAUUUACCUUUGGGUGUUGAAGCCAAUACCCUCAAUGAAAUACCAGCGAGUAAACUGAAUGAAAUGUCACCCUCUAAGCCAAAUGAAACAACAGCCUCUACCAUCAAUGAAACACCAGUCAAUAACUUGAACAAAAUGACCCUCAGUUCUACUUCAGAUGAAAAUGAGAGUAAACCCUUUGAAAAUUCUACAGAUGUGGCCGGAGAGAAACCAGCCUCAAAAGAUACCACCCAACUGGUCAUUAAUCCACAGGACAAAACUCAACAAUGGCUACACACUCUUACAGGAAGACAACACAGUUUUGGCUCUGAUCUCUCAGCUGGGACCAAUUCCAGUAGCAUUGACAUUCUUUUACAGAGCAGAGAAGCAAAUCCUGAAGAAAUCCUUCGAAGUCUUGGAUUUGGAUCUUCCCAAAACGAUGAGGUCAAGGCACGGAUUCCGCAACGUUUCUUUUCUGAUUCUAAGUUCUGCAUUGACGACUUUAAACAAAGAUCCGAACUACAAGAACUUUUUGAUUCCUGGAAAUCUGAAAAAAAUUCCUCAGACCAAUUGAUGCAGCACCCCUCGUUAGGGCCCUGCCUUCACCGUCUAGGGCUUUUGUCGUCUGUCCAGUCACAACCUUGUAAAUUGCCAAGAAGUAGUCUUACAUCACCACAAAGCAUAUUGAUUCCAGACAACCAGAAGGCCCUUGCUGCUCAGGGUUACUAUGAAUACCCUUCAGUGAUGGGUGGCUUAAGAGAGAACUCAAAACAAUCAAUCCUUCCAGCUUCUGAACGACGCAAGAAUUUCAGGAGUACACGCACCCAACAGACCUGGUCUUUGAUAGAACCAGAACAAGAGGCAGAAUCUGAAUUGCAGAAGUUAAAACAAAAUAAGCAUAAUUUUGGAGCUAGUAUUGAUUCUGCUCUAAGCAGUGACCUAGAGAACUCUUUAGAGAGAAGAAAUUGGCAAACCUAUUCCAGAUGGGGUUUCCGGAACCAGCCAAGUAAAGACAGUGAAUCCAGUACUUCCAGCCUUCGAGACCUUCGCUUAGGACAUGUAAAUAAAUUAAUGAGUUUUGAAGAAACUGAUGAUGACUGUGAGGUGUUUUCUCCUUCAGAGAAUCACAGAAGAAAUUUAAAUAACAAAAGUAAUGGUUUCCAAAAUCCAGAAGCUGAAAUAUGUGAUAAUUUUCAAAAGACUUCUUUAGAAACAGAUCUUAAUUCUGACAAACAAACUGAAAGUGGAUUUGAUUUCAGGCAUGGUGCCAUCAUUGAUUCUUUAAACAAUAUCAAUGACUUAAUAAAAUAUUCAAAGUCUACAGAACCUUCUGAACUUGAAGUGUCUCUGGCUUCUGCUGCUUCCAUGGAUAUAUUACACAAUGGUGGAUUAACAACAAUAUCUGCAGAAGAGGCUGAUUUUAGUGAUUAUCCUGCAAACACGAAAGAAGUACGCAGACUGAAGAUUGGCGCUCAAAGGAACCCUUCUAUCUACCGUAUUGGAAGUGCUCAGUCUGAUAGCAGUGGUUAUGUAGAAUCUGACAGUCUGGUGGAGCCACCAAUGUCGUAUCUUGAUGCAUUAUCAGCCAAUGAUGUCGGUGAUCGAGGAGCUUAUGACAGCAGCGAAGCCAUCCAUGCAGGAAUCUGCAAACGACUCAGCAUCAAUUCAGACACAACAGUCAAAGACCUUGCUGCUUCUUCAUCUUCAUCUUCUUCCCAGUGUCCUUGUGAUAAAUCUGUUGGCACUGAACAAAUCUUUAAAUCUGACAGGGCUGUUUCUACUGAUCCCUUCCAAAAACAAACUAUGGCCAGUCAGACGGACACAUGUUGUUUCUGUACUUGGUGUGCUAACCCUAACCAAGUAUGUGCACACCUACACUCUUCUGUACCUUACCAGUCUACAGUUUCUACUGCAUAUGGUAUGUCUCUCCACAUCGAUGCCUCUAAUAAUUUCUCCCACAUAACAGACCCAACUUCAGAAACGAGCCCUCGCUCGGCGAGCAAAAAGGAAACUUCUGUUCUCAAUUUGUUCAUCUCUGACGGAAAUAUUUUGUUCUGUGAUAAUGAUUCUAACAAUAAUCAAAAAUGGAAUAGUGAUGAUGCCGAUGGUUCUUCAAGAUCAGGUUGCAGUUACAGGGAGCUGGAAUCCACUGUAACUAAUCACCCGAAGAGUCAAAUCUGUAUGGGACAUCAGAACUACCAUUACAAAGAUACUGAUUCGCCAUUUGGUCUGCUGAGUAGUCGUUCCAUAAGCUGGAGAGAAGAGACAAGCAAAAAUGUGAUAGAAUACAGAAAACUUCUAAAACUCACGAAUCGGAAGACAUUUAUACAAUCUUUUGUAAAUAAUCCAUUCCUGCCAUACACUCCUCGUGUCAAAAUUGAAAUUUGGGCAGAAAAACCAAUCAACAUGCACCUGCAGGAAGAGAACCAGCUAAUGCAACAUGCUGUUCAACGUUAUAAGUUUGAUUUGCAAAUAAUAGAAAGUACAUUUUUAUCAUGUUAUAACCACAUGGCUGAGUUGUUAUCUGACGAAGAGACGUUAAUGAUGGAUGAAUUGUAUGAGUUGUGGACAGCUGUUAACAUUGAGGUGGGUCAUCUCGAGAAACUCUUAGCUGAACGACAAUAUUUUGUGAGGAAUGGGAACAGUCAACUGACCACUUUGACAUCACUCCAAGUUAUUCCAUUGAUGACUGAACUUCUUAAGGAACAAUUGUGUGCUUUCCAACUAAACAAUGACAUUUUUGAGUUGACUAUGGAACCUCGCCGUUCUAAUCCAAUGCCGUUCUAUCAGCAACCAGGAUGGCAAACUCUCUCAGUACAAAUGCAAAAUUUGCAAAGUCAAAUUACUGGCCAUAAUAAUAUGCAAUCUGUUCGUUUUAAUAGAUCAAUGGAAGAGGUACAGUCUAAGAUUUUAACUAGUAAUCACACACACACACACACAGGUUAUCAAACAGAUGGCUAUGGUUGGCUUGUCCUACCAAACUAUCUUGCUGGAGGACACAAGUAAUCUGAAAGACUCAAUGAUGGUGGAAAUUCAAAGAAACAUAACCCAAAAUUUUAACCAACUCUUCAUGGGAUGAAAAGACUCCUUAGAUGUGCUUUCUGCAGUCAUUUAUUAUUGUUCACAGUUGAUUUGAUAUACGGAGCUUGAAUUCACAUGCAUACAUGUGUGUAUUGUGAAAACAUUUUUCAACUUGUUUCCCUGUGUGCUUUUAAUUAACUCCAAUGAAAUUUGAAACAACAAUAGGACCAAAAGUAUAUAUAUAUAUAUAUAUAACCUUGUGUAUAUAUGUAUAUAUAUAUAUAUAUAUAUAUAUAUACACACAUAUGCAAAUACAACCGUCAUCACCACAGCCACAUCAUGGAUUGAAAUUAAACCUCAUAUUUAUAUUUUCCUCUCUUUGAUGUUGACAGUAUUCCAGACUCGAGCAUCUUCCACAUCCCUUUUGAAGUUUAACUGAUUUUUAAAUCAGGGAUCUCUUUUUAGUUGAAUUUAUUUAGUCUAUUAAAGUCUUUUUUAUUUUUCUAAAAAAACAGACAUUAUUACCAAAGUAACCAAUUCUCUAUUUUCCUAUCAGCUCAUUCAACCCCUUCACCUUUCAUCCAAUUUUGCUUAAUCUUUAAAUUUAAGGAAUGAUAAAUGUUAUUUAACUUUACAUAGGUUUUACAUCACCAAACGAUAUUGUUUUAUUUUGCUUUUGUUCUCUCUCUCUCUCUCUCUCUUUUUUUUACUGUUCUAGCAAUAAAGAUCACAAAAUAUUUAUUAUAUUCUUUAAUUCUAUUUAUUGCUGACUCAAAACUUAUUUUUAUAUCAACAUUUCCACAUUUCCUGCAAGAAUCUACCCUAAAAUAUUCUAAACACCCUUAACAAAUGACCCUUCCUAAUUCUCAAAUUCUUCUCGCCCUGUCUCUUCUUUCAUCUUUGUUUUUAUAAAAUGAAUUGACAUCUUGUAUCUCUUAAAGAAUAAAUCACAUACUCUUGCUAAAAA